AUGUCCGUGUUAUAAUCAAGGAUGUAAGUAAUGUAUGUCCGUGUUAUAAUCAAGGAUGUAAGUAAUGUAUGUCCGUGUUAUAAUCAAGGUCGUAAGUGAUGUAUGUCCGUGUUAUAAUCAAGGAUGUAAGUAAUGUAUGUCCGUGUUAUAAUCAAGGAUGUAAGUAAUGUAUGUCCGUGUUAUAAUCAAGGUCGUAAGUGAUGUAUGUCCGUGUUAUAAUCAAGGAUGUAAGUAAUGUAUGUCCGUGUUAUAAUCAAGGAUGUAAGUAAUGUAUGUCCGUGUUAUAAUCGGAAUCAUAUAAUGAUAUUUUCUAUUGCAAACACUGUGCUAUCAUUUAUUCAAUGUUUUUCACACGACACGGUCAUCGGCAAAAAUAAAAAUGUGAUAAUAAUCGUAAACAUUGAUUUCUAUUUUACGUAACAUUUCAUCUAUUAGAUGUUGUUGAAACAAUUAGUAUCAACAAUAUAAACAAAUGAUAGCGUAAUACUUGUUUUAAAAACAGACGUCUGCUUCUGGUUAUUAUUAAUAGAAAAAAAUAUUAGCCCUUCUUAUAAUAGCAGUAGGGGCUGAUAUUUUUUUCUAUUAAUACUAUCCGUAAGCAGACGCCUAUAUUUUAAAUGACUGGUUUACAAGUCAAUUUCUCGCUCUCCAUAGCAUAUGAAAUUACCAUAGGCUCUUUAUAAACAGGGACAUUCAGGAUGUGUCCCUUUUGAGCUCGUUACGUUGUUACUAACAUAUACAGCACAGUUGAGACAUGCAGUACAUAUACUACAUGUAUUCCUGUCAUUAUACGUACCUGUCAUAAUAAAUGAUUUCCAUUAUUAUUUGAA